rnacentral:rRNA from 1 species
GAUGAACGCUAGCGGCAGGCUUAAUACAUGCAAGUCGUGGGGCAGCAUGAGUAGCAAUACUUGAUGGCGACCGGCAAACGGGUGAGGAACACGUACACAACCUUCCUUCAAGCGGGGAAUAGCCCAGAGAAAUUUGGAUUAAUACCCCAUAAUAUAUUUGAUAAGGCAUCUUAUUAAUAUUAAAGCUUCGGCACUUGAUGAUGGGUGUGCGGCUGAUUAGAUAGUUGGCGGGUAACGGCCCACCAAGUCUACGAUCAGUAGCUGAUGUGAGAGCAUGAUCAGCCACACGGGCACUGAGACACGGGCCCGACUCCUACGGGAGGCAGCAGUAAGGAAUAUUGGACAAUGGACGAAAGUCUGAUCCAGCCAUGCCGCGUGAAGGAUUAAGGUCCUCUGGAUUGUAAACUUCUUUAUAUGGGACGAAAAAAGGGCAUUCUUGUUCACUUGACGGUACCAUAUGAAUAAGCACCGGCUAAACUCCGUGCCAGCA